UUUGGGUACUGGUGGGGUCCCUCGGCCUGGCCUGCACCCUCUUGCAAUCCGGGACCCCUCAGGGGAUGUCAGAGAGCCAGUUUUGGCCCAAUCCCUGCAGGCCAGGCUGAGGGACCCCACCAAUGCAUG
rfam:Myotis brandtii contig190578, whole genome shotgun sequence.